AAAUUUCAAAUUCACAUUUCAACUUCACAUUUUCUCUUUCAAUAGUUCUCUCUCUCAACUCAUUUUUUUCUUCACUCCUCUCUUCUUUCUUCUCUAUUUCUCCUUCUCUUUUACCUUUGUAUACUUUAUUCCCUUUGCUGUGUUUUAUGUUAUGAUUUUAACUCAUUUUUCAUCACUUUUCUCUUUCUCCUUCUCUGUUACCUUUGAGAAGGAUUAUUACUUUUGUUGUGUUUUUUUUUUGCCUUUUGCUAAUAGUAUAUCUUAUGAAUGUUGAAACUAGCAAAGUCUUUGUUUUAUUUUGAAUAGGUGAAGGGUUAUCAUUUAACUAUUAUUUGUGGCUAACAACAACACAAUAUAUUUGCUCUGUUAGGUAAAAUGGGAGACAACUUCUUUGAUUCUUGCACCCACAAAUCGAGAAGAUACAAUAAUUGAUCAACUUAAUGUAUGUUUUUUUAACCCAUUUUCUCAUAUAUAUUUUUCCUCCACUUCUCUCUUUAUCCUUCUCUUUUACCUUUGAGAUAGUUUAUUCCCUUUACUGUGUUUUAUGUGUUUUAUGCCAUGAUUUUAACUCAUUUUUUCUUCACUUCUCUAUUUCUCCUUCUAUGUUACCUUUGAGAAAGAUUAUUACCUUUUUUGUUGUUUUUUGCAUUUUGUUAGUGUUUUGUACCAUGAAUGUUGAACCUAACAAAGUCUCUAUUUUUUUUAGAAUAGGUGAAGGGGUUGUCAUUUAAGCAUUAUUUGUUGCUAACAACACAACAUAGUUGCUCUUUUAGGUAAAAAAAUGGGAGAUAAGUUCUUUGAUUCUUGCACCACAAAUCGGCAAGAUACAAUAAUGGAUCAACUUAAUGUAUGUUCUUUUUCAACCCAUUUUCUCAUUAUUUUUUUUAUUGAAAGCUGUUUUUGGUCACUGGGAAAUUGAGAGAGUUUUAACAUGAUUGAAACUUAAGAAUUCAUUGUAAUAUCCAUCUUUCAAGCAUUACAUCCAUUAAUCAGAUAGAAUUUAUGUAACCAUGUGUAAGUAUAACAAUUCAUAAAAAUAUCUAGCAGUAGUAACAUAUAUAAGGACUGUUACAUAUAUAUGAUAGUAAAUUUUGUACUUACUAAUUACCAAGUAAAAAAGUAGAUUUUAUUUUAAUUGAUUGGUGUAUUUUUUAAGAUAGCUCUACAACUUAAAACACAUGUUAGUCACAACCAAACCAAGAAUUACUCUUAAAGUUUAAGUUAUGUUGGAAAAACAUCUGGUCAGGCCUUUCAAUCUAUUUUUAUCGAAGCUUCAGUUUUUCUAAUAGGUAAUAUACAUGACAAUUAAAUUUUUCUUACGUGAUAAUUAAAUUUUGUUCUUAAUAACUUAUGAUGACUUUAUAGUUUUAUUCUUAAUUCAAUUUUGUUCUUAAUAACUUAUGAUAACCUUAUAGUUUUAUUCUUAACUAAAUUUUGUUCUUACCCUGUGUAAAGCUAUCUGCUUAAAAGUGUAUUAAAGAUGGCAACAUGUCUCCUUACUUCGAUAUGUUCUUCUUGAAUGAAAUCCGUCAAAAAAAGAUUGGAGCAUGCUUGCAUUCUUUUAGUGUCAUUAAUUAUUGUCAAUUAGAUGCAUGUUAAUUUGUCUCACUUUCCCAUUAACAUACGUUAGGAUUAUUCUCUUGAUGAUGCACUUUUGUGUGAAAGUGCACUCACUGAUUUUGUCAAUUUUGUAUGAAUUCUUUGCUCUCCUUUAGUUUGGAUAUAUAAUGAGUAUUGGUAAGAUGACUUGGUUUUUGCCAUCUAUUUCUUACAGGUUGGCUGACUUGAAGGACUUCGAGAAAGUUAACGAGAUCUAUGUUGAAUGUGAGUUUUGUUAUAGAGAUUUUGAUGUUUCCUUGAUAUGUCUUACAUGUUUUAUUAUAGAACAUAAUAGAUUGAAUAGAUGUAAUCACAAGUAACAUUGUUCCAAACUUUGGGCCCUUUGUUUGUUAAAUCUAUUGAUUAAAAUAUUGAGUCAUCCAAUUAAUAUUGUAGAUUUUGUGAUUAUCUGCCGACAAACUGCAAAACUUUAUUUAUAAUGUUUUCAAGAAGUUAAUCUGAUAGAUUUGGGAAAGUUAAUCGAAGUUUGAAACCGACACAAUCGUAAUCAUAAUGUACCAUUAUGAAUCGGCUCUUUUUAAAUAUUUUUAUACAUAUUGUUAUGAAUUUGUACUAUUAUGAGUAUGCUACUUUUUUUUGUUGCAUUGGAGUCUAUUUUUGCAUAUUGUGGUUCACAUAGGUACUUGAACACACCAUAGUACCAUUCCAGUGCACUUAAUUAACAUCUUAUCUAUAUUAAUUAUGUUAUGGUUUAACAUCAAUUAUGUUCUUUGUCUUGCCCAUGCUUCCUCUUUUUCAUUUCAUAUUAUUCUCUCUUACAAUUAAUAUGGAAGAUUAUGUGAUCCUCAACAAACAUAUUGAAAAACUUUAAUUAUUAUGAUAUCUUUUUUAUUGCUAUGGUGAUUCAAGUAUAUAAUAUAUGAGUUAAUGAUAUGAAUUCUAAUUUCUGCUAUGGUGAUUCAAAUAUAUAAUAUAUGAGUUUAUGAUAUGUGUUAAUUGUAUUUGUUAUGAGUUUGCUGUGAUUUCCUGCUCAUUUUUGUUCCUACUACUCACUCAUUCUUUUUUGGUAAAGCUACUACUCACUCAUUCACUCAAAUGUAUGUUUUUUUCAAGUAUUUGUUGUUAACGUUUAGUUCAACAUUUGCUAAUGGUGGAUUCUUAGUUCUCAAUUCUAAUUUCUGCAUGUUAACUUCUUGGUGUUAUUUUGGAUAUGCAUAUUCACUAUCUAACUUCUUUUUUUUUUGGUUUCUCACAGAUAUCCUCGCACUAGAGGCAAUUUUGUCCGAGCCGGGAACAUCCACAGGUACGUGCGGCUAACUCUCCCAAUGGACUAAUGAAUCAUUUGCUAAUGAAUCAUUUCAUGCAUUUUUAUCAAUCAAGCUUACUUUGUGCAUGCAUUUUUAGUUAGCCACUACAUUUUCAUUAUCUAAGUACUCAACUUUAUUUAGUGCAUUUCUAUGAGUCCUUAUUUUGUGCAUCUAUAUAAAAGUUUCUAUCUUUUCAUCUAGCUUUCUUUCACCUGUUAUUUUUUUCCUUCUCAUUCUUCAUCAACAUUAAGGUUUAGAAGCAAAACAAAGUGAUAGAGGUCAUGGAAGCUCCAAAGACGAAAGAAGUAAGUCACCUACCAAUGGACCAACUUCAAGACUUAGAAUAUUGAAUAGAAUCAAAAUCAUAUUGAGUUAUGUUAAACUUUAAUCAUUCCUCAACUCAUAUUUUCAGUUUCAUUAGUACAUUGAAUUUUUU
rnacentral:lncRNA from 1 species